UACGAAGGGGGCUAGCGUUGCUCGGAAUCACUGGGCGUAAAGGGUGCGUAGGCGGGUUUUUAAGUCAGAGGUGAAAUCCUGGAGCUCAACUCCAGAACUGCCUUUGAUACUGAAAGUCUUGAGUAUGGGAGAGGUGAGUGGAACUGCGAGUGUAGAGGUGAAAUUCGUAGAUAUUCGCAAGAACACCAGUGGCGAAGGCGGCCAACUGGUCCGGUACUGACGCUGAGACGCGAAAGCGUGGGGAGCAAACAGG
rnacentral:rRNA from 1 species